AGAGUUUGAUCCUGGCUCAGAAUCAACGCUGGCGGCGCGCCUAACACAUGCAAGUCGAGCGAGAAAGGGGAGCAAUUCCUGAGUACAGCGGCGUACGGGUGAGUAACACGUGGAUAAUCUGCCCUUUUGUGGGGAAUAACUUUGGGAAACCGAAGCUAAUACCGCAUAAGCCCGAGAGGGGAAAGCAGCAAUGCGCAGAAGGAGGAGUCCGCGGCCGAUUAGCUUGUUGGCGGGGUAAUGGCCCACCAAGGCAACGAUCGGUAGCCGGCCUGAGAGGGCACACGGCCACACUGGCACUGAGACACGGGCCAGACUCCUACGGGAGGCAGCAGUGGGGAAUCUUGCACAAUGGGGGAAACCCUGAUGCAGCGACGCCGCGUGAGUGAUGAAGCCCUUCGGGGUGUAAAGCUCUUUCGACGGGAACGAUAAUGACGGUACCCGGAGAAGAAGCUGCGGCUAACUACGUGCCAGCAGCCGCGGUAAUACGUAGGCAGCAAGCGUUGUUCGGAAUUAUUGGGCGUAAAGAGUAUGUAGGCGGUUGGCUAAGUUUGGUGUGAAAUCUCCUGGCUUAACUGGGAGGGUGCGCUAAAUACUGGUCAGCUUGAGUGUGGGAGAGGAGAGUGGAAUGCCUGGUGUAGCGGUGAAAUGCGUAGAUAUCAGGCGGAACGCCGGUGAUGUAGAUGGCUCUCUGGACCACAACUGACGCUGAGAUACGAAAGCGUGGGUAGCAAACAGGAUUAGAUACCCUGGUAGUCC
rnacentral:rRNA from 1 species